UUAAAAUAAUAAUAAAAAAGAAAGUAUAAAACGAAAGAACCUUGUGGUCUAGGGAAGCAUAGGGCUCUGCCCAAUGAUGUAUAGUCCCUUUCCACAAUGUUGGAUAUGAAGCCAGGCUUUGUGUCUGCACCUGCAUAUUCCUACAGCUUCCCAGAGUCCUGUGGACAAUGACUGGGGAGAUAAACCAUGCAGGAAAUGUUA